UCAAAUCCAACGAUUAGGGUUGAACACAAACAGCUCGGAGAGGGGCUUCCGCACCUUCCUCCAGGCCAAGGCUGACUCCCGCCCAGGGAGCCUCCCGUUUCCAGGCCGUGGCCCCGUGCAGCUGAGAGCCAGGUCCCAGGACACACAUGGCCUCGCUCUUCCUGUAAAGGGGGAGAACUUCCCCCGCACUCCACAGUUUCCAGAAGGCUGCAUUGUUCCCGAGGCCCAGUUUGGAGUUCCAGAAGACCUCAUUUCCUGCGGUUGUCUGGCCUUCCCGGAAAACUGUGACCCGGAUGUUCUCAGCAGUUUAGACAUUUAAUGUGGCAGAAAUGAGAAGAAAGACCCAUGCACCCCAAGUGGAUGAAGGGGUUGAGGUUGGCUUCUCAGAAGAUCCUGACACCCAAGGCUCUCAAUGCUACUACACCCUGUGAAGGUCAGGUUGGACAGCCGAGGCCAAUUACCAAACAUAACAAAGACAAGAGAAAACGGAAAAUGCAUUUUAAAAAAUACAGAAACCAUUGGAUAUAACUGAU